rnacentral:rRNA from 1 species
AUUGAACGCUGGCGGCAGGCCUAACACAUGCAAGUCGAGCGAGCGGCGGACGGGUGAGUAAUGUCUGGGAAACUGCCUGAUGGAGGGGGAUAACUACUGGAAACGGUAGCUAAUACCGCAUACCAUCAGAUGCGCCCAGAUGGGAUUAGCUGGUAGGUGGGGUAACGGCUCACCUGGGCGACGCUCCCUAGCUGGUCUGAGAGGAAGACCAGCCACACUGUAACGGAGAAACGGUCCAGACUCCUACGGAAGGCAGCAGUGGGGAAGAUUGCACAAUGGGCGCAAGCCGGAUGCAGCCAUGCCGCGUGUGUGAAGAAGGCCUUCGGGUUGUAAAGCACUUUCAGCGGGGAGGCGUUACCCGCAGAAGAAGCACCGGCUAACUCCGUGCCAGCAGCCGCGGUAAUUC